GAUGAACGCUGGCGGCGUGCCUAAUGCAUGCAAGUCGAGCGAACAGACGAGGAGCUUGCUCCUUUGACGUUAGCGGCGGACGGGUGAGUAACACGUGGGUAACCUACCUAUAAGACUGGGAUAACUUCGGGAAACCGGAGCUAAUACCGGAUAAUAUUUCGAACCGCAUGAUUCGAUAGUGAAAGAUGGCUUUGCUAUCACUUAUAGAUGGACCUGCGCCGUAUUAGCUAGUUGGUAAGGUAACGGCUUACCAAGGCAACGAUACGUAGCCGACCUGAGAGGGUGAUCGGCCACACUGGAACUGAGACACGGUCCAGACUCCUACGGGAGGCAGCAGUAGGGAAUCUUCCGCAAUGGGCGAAAGCCUGACGGAGCAACGCCGCGUGAGUGAUGAAGGUCUUCGGAUCGUAAAACUCUGUUAUUAGGGAAGAACAAACGUGUAAGUAACUGUGCACGUCUUGACGGUACCUAAUCAGAAAGCCACGGCUAACUACGUG
rnacentral:rRNA from 1 species